rnacentral:rRNA from 1 species
AGUCGAACGGUAACAGGAAUCAGCUUGCUGAUUCGCUGACGAGUGGCGGACGGGUGAGUAAUGUCUGGGAAACUGCCUGAUGGAGGGGGAUAACUACUGGAAACGGUAGCUAAUACCGCAUAACGUCGCAAGACCAAAGAGGGGGACCUUCGGGCCUCUUGCCAUCGGAUGUGCCCAGAUGGGAUUAGCUAGUAGGUGGGGUAAAGGCUCACCUAGGCGACGAUCCCUAGCUGGUCUGAGAGGAUGACCAGCCACACUGGAACUGAGACACGGUCCAGACUCCUACGGGAGGCAGCAGUGGGGAAUAUUGCACAAUGGGCGCAAGCCUGAUGCAGCCAUGCCGCGUGUAUGAAGAAGGCCUUCGGGUUGUAAAGUACUUUCAGCGGGGAGGAAGGGAGUAAAGUUAAUACCUUUGCUCAUUGACGUUACCCGCAGAAGAAGCACCGGCUAACUCCGUGCCAGCAGCCGCGGUAAUACGGAGGGUGCAAGCGUUAAUCGGAAUUACUGGGCGUAAAGCGCACGCAGGCGGUUUGUUAAGUCAGAUGUGAAAUCCCCGGGCUCAACCUGGGAACUGCAUCUGAUACUGGCAAGCUUGAGUCUCGUAGAGGGGGGUAGAAUUCCAGGUGUAGCGGUGAAAUGCGUAGAGAUCUGGAGGAAUACCGGUGGCGAAGGCGGCCCCCUGGACGAAGACUGACGCUCAGGUGCGAAAGCGUGGGAGCAAACAGGAUUAGAUACCCUGGUAGUCCACGCCGUAAACGAUGUCGACUUGGAGGUUGUGCCCUUGAGGCGUGGCUUCCGGAGCUAACGCGUUAAGUCGACCGCCUGGGGAGUACGGCCGCAAGGUUAAAACUCAAAUGAAUUGACGGGGGCCCGCACAAGCGGUGGAGCAUGUGGUUUAAUUCGAUGCAACGCGAAGAACCUUACCUGGUCUUGACAUCCACGGAAGUUUUCAGAGAUGAGAAUGUGCCUUCGGGAACCGUGAGACAGGUGCUGCAUGGCUGUCGUCAGCUCGUGUUGUGAAAUGUUGGGUUAAGUCCCGCAACGAGCGCAACCCUUAUCCUUUGUUGCCAGCGGUCCGGCCGGGAACUCAA